rnacentral:tRNA from 2 species
GGCAGUUUGGUGGAGUGGUCUAACACGCUAGACUGUGAAUCUAGUCCUUUCGAGGGCGCAGGUUCGAACCCUGCAACUGUCG